GCCACUCUCUGCAGUCGAGAUUCCUACGGGAGGCAGCAGUAGGGAAUAUUGCGCAAUGGGGGAAACCCUGACGCAGCAAUGCCGCAUGAGUGAGGAAGGCCUUAGGGUUGUAAAGCUCUGUCAGUAGGGAAAAAUGGCACUAAGUUUAAGAGAUGUAGUGUUUGAUGGUACCUACAAAGGAAGCACCGGCUAACUUCGUGCCAGCAGCCGCGGUAAUACGAAGGGUGCAAGCGUUGUUCGGAUUUACUGGGCGUAAAGAGCGCGUAGGCGGAUUGAAAAGUCAGGUGUGAAAUCUCGGGGCCUAACCCCGAAACUGCGCCUGAAACUUUCAGUCUAGAAUCUCGGAGAGGGAAGGGGAAUUUCACAUGUAGGGGUAAAAUCCGUAGAGAUGUGAAGGAACGUUCGAGGCGAAAGCGCCUUCCUGGACGAGUAUUGACGCUGAGGCGCGAAAGCGUGGGGAGCAAACAGGAUUAGAUACCCUGGUAGUCCACGCCGUAAACGAUGAGAACUAGACAUUGCGGGUAUUGACCCCUGCGGUGUCGUAGCUAACGCAUUAAGUUCUCCGCCUGGGGAGUACGGUCGCAAGAUUAAAACUCAAAGGAAUUGACGG
rnacentral:rRNA from 1 species